UGGAGGGGGAUAACUACUGGAAACGGUGGCUAAUACCGCAUAACGUCGCAAGACCAAAGAGGGGGACCUUCGGGCCUCUUGCCAUCAGAUGUGCCCAGAUGGGAUUAGCUUGUUGGUGAGGUAACGGCUCACCAAGGCGACGAUCCCUAGCUGGUCUGAGAGGAUGACCAGCCACACUGGAACUGAGACACGGUCCAGACUCCUACGGGAGGCAGCAGUGGGGAAUAUUGCACAAUGGGCGCAAGCCUGAUGCAGCCAUGCCGCGUGUAUGAAGAAGGCCUUCGGGUUGUAAAGUACUUUCAGCGGGGAGG
rnacentral:rRNA from 1 species